CAUUACUGAGUGCUAAACUCCAACCCUAUGUGAACUUACCACUGUUGCCUCGGCGCUGUGCCUGCGAGAGCAGGCCCGCCGGUGGACCACUAAACUCUGUUAUACCUGCUGUAUCUCUGAAUUUAUAACUGAAAUACGUUAAAACUUUCAACAACGGAUCUCUUGGUUCUGGCAUCGAUGAAGAACGCAGCGAAAUGCGAUAAGUAAUGUGAAUUGCAGAAUUCAGUGAAUCAUCGAAUCUUUGAACGCACAUUGCGCCCAUUAGUAUUCUAGUGGGCAUGCCUAUUCGAGCGUCAUUUCAACCCUUAAGCCCCUGUUGCUUAGCGUUGGGAAUCUGCGUUACGGCGCAGUUCCUUAAAGUGAUUUGGCGGAGCUAGUGCAUACUCUAGGCGUAGUAAAAUACCAUUCUCGCUUUUGUAGUAGGCCUGGCGGCUUGCCGUAAAACCCCUAUAUUUCUAGUGGUUGACCUCGGAUUAGGUAGGAA
rnacentral:rRNA from 1 species